rnacentral:rRNA from 1 species
AUUGAGCGCUGGCGGCAUGCCUUACACAUGCAAGUCGAACGGUAACAGGUUAAGCUGACGAGUGGCGAACGGGUGAGUAAUGUAUCGGAACGUGCCCAGUCGUGGGGGAUAACUGCUCGAAAGAGCAGCUAAUACCGCAUACGACCUGAGGGUGAAAGCGGGGGAUCGCAAGACCUCGCGCGAUUGGAGCGGCCGAUAUCAGAUUAGGUAGUUGGUGAGGUAAAGGCUCACCAAGCCGACGAUCUGUAGCUGGUCUGAGAGGACGACCAGCCACACUGGGACUGAGACACGGCCCAGACUCCUACGGGAGGCAGCAGUGGGGAAUUUUGGACAAUGGGCGCAAGCCUGAUCCAGCCAUGCCGCGUGCGGGAAGAAGGCCUUCGGGUUGUAAACCGCUUUUGUCAGGGAAGAAAAGGUUCUGGCUAAUACCUGGGACUCAUGACGGUACCUGAAGAAUAAGCACCGGCUAACUACGUG